rnacentral:rRNA from 1 species
CCUACGGGGGACAGCAGUGAGGAAUAUUGGUCAAUGGCCGUAAGGCUGAACCAGCCAAGUCGCGUGAAGGAAGAAGGAUCUAUGGUUUGUAAGCUUCUUUUAUAGGGGAAUAAAGGUAUCCACGUGUGGAUAUUUGCAUGUACCCUAUGAAUAAGCAUCGGCUAACUCCGUUCCAGCAGCCGCGGUAAUACGGAGGAUGCGAGCGUUAUCCGGAUUUAUUGGGUUUAAAGGGUGCGUAGGUUGUUGUUUAAGUCAGCGGUGAAAGGUUGUGGCUCAACCAUAAAAUUGCCGUUGAAACUGGUAGGCUUGAGUGUGUUUGAGGGAGGUAGAAUGCGUGGUGUAGCGGUGAAAUGCAUAGAGAUCACGCAGAAUUCCGAUUGCGAAGGCAGCUUACUAGGCCAUAACUGACACUGAAGCGCGAAAGCGUGGGGAGCAAACAGGAUUAGAUACCCUUGUAGUC